AACGAACGCUGGCGGCAUGCCUAACACAUGCAAGUCGAACGAGAUCUUCGGGUCUAGUGGCGCACGGGUGCGUAACGUGUGGGAAUCUGCCCUUUGGUUCGGAAUAACAGUUGGAAACGUCUGCUAAAACCGGAUGAUGACGAAAGUCCAAAGAUUUAUCGCCAGAGGAUGAGCCCGCGUAGGAUUAGCUAGUUGGUGUGGUAAAGGCGCACCAAGGCGACGAUCCUUAGCUGGUCUGAGAGGAUGAUCAGCCACACUGGGACUGAGACACGGCCCAGACUCCUACGGGAGGCAGCAGUUGGGAAUAUUGGACAAUGGGCGAAAGCCUGAUCCAGCAAUGCCGCGUGAGUGAUGAAGGCCUUAGGGUUGUAAAGCUCUUUUACCCGGGAUGAUAAUGACAGUACCGGGAGAAUAAGCCCCGGCUAACUCCGUGCCAGCAGCCGCCGCCG
rnacentral:rRNA from 1 species